rnacentral:lncRNA from 1 species
GGGCCCUGUUCAUCCAUUGUGGGCCGAGUCCGUUCAUUUUAGACUAGAUAUAUUGAUUGAUCCAAGUCGACCCAAGCCAAAUCUCUCCUUUCCUAUUUUAGUCAAACCCGACUGAAUAGGCCAAGCCUCCGAUUAGACCUAACCAGAUGGAUCAAGCCCAAAAGCUCAGUUAGCCUUAGAUCGUGUAUUUUUUUCUCUUUCUAAGCAAGCCCACAUUUUGACUAGAUCCAGACCUUUCUCCUAAU